rnacentral:rRNA from 1 species
AACGAACGCUGGCGGCAUUCCUAACACAUGCAAGUCGAACGAGAUCUUCGGGUCUAGUGGCGCACGGGUGCGUAACGCGUGGGAAUCUGCCCUUUGGUUCGGAAUAGCAGUUGGAAACGACUGCUAAUACCGGAUGAUGACGAAAGUCCAAAGAUUUAUCGACCGAGGAUGAGCCCGCGUAGGAUUAGCUAGUUGGUGUGGUAAAGGUGCACAACGGCGACGAUCCUUAGCUGGUCUGAGAGGAUGAUCAGCCACACUGGGACUGAGACACGGCCCAGACUCCUACGGGAGGCAGCAGUGGGGAAUAUUGGAAAAUGGGCGAAAGCCUGAUCCAGCAAUGCCGCGUGAGUGAUGAAGGCCUUAGGGUUGUAAAGCUCUUUUACCCGGGGUGAUAAUGACAGUACCGGGAGAAUAAGCUCCGGCUAACUCCGUGCCAGCCGCCGCCGUAA